rnacentral:tRNA from 1 species
CGAGCUAACUGGUAGUCCAAGAUAUGGCUCAUAACCAUACUCUGUAAGUGCAAUUCUUACUAGCUCGC